CCGAGUUCAGCAAACUCACUCUCUGUGGAAUCUCUACCCUCUCUGAGGGGUUGGCCUCUGGAUGACUCUCUGUCUCUCUGCUCUCUGGUGAUCUCUGUAGACGCUCCGAAUGAUGUGUCUGCUUGCUCGUAAGUGUCUUCUGUUCCUUCAGGUCACCUAUCCCUCUUGUGCAGUGACCUCGUAUGACCUGUACUCCUCAUGACUCCUUCAAUCAACUCCUCUGCUGUCUCUCUAAUGGCUGGAUCCUCACAGAAGCACCUGUCUCAAGGGCUGGGUGUCAAAUGCUGCUGGUGGUGACCUGCUGAGUAAUACUCAACAUCCUGCCUGGUGAGUGGACGUAUGGGUUCCACUGCCGCAGCCACAUGUGGACAGAACAUGGACAGAAAAAUUAUAACUAUUAUGAAGUGCUAUACCCCUCUGCCAUCCACUGGAGCUGCCAUGUCUCCGACUGCCUUGAUCUUGUUGGGAUCUGCUUUCAGUCCCUCUGCUGUGACCAAAGUACAUCAUCUCACAUUGUUUGAGUUGCAUUUUUUCUGGGCUGAGUUUUAUGUUCUCUUCUGUAUCACUAAGAUUAAGAUUUUGUCAGGGUUACGUUUAGUAAAAGUUACAGACAGGUCGCGGGCAAUAAAGAAAAAUUCAUGGAA